GAUAAGGCCCUUCGGGGUACAUAAGUGGCGGACGGGUGAGUAAUACGUAGGUAAUCUGCCUCAAGGAGGGGGACAACGUUGGGAAACUGACGCUAAUACCCCAUAUGUGCAAGCUUGAAAUAGUUUGUAUGAAAACUCCGGUGCCUUGAGAUGAGCCUGCGUCUGAUUAGCUUGUUGGUGGGGUAAUGGCCUACCAAGGCGAUGAUCAGUAGCUGGUCUGAGAGGAUGAUCAGCCACAAUGGGACUGAGACACGGCCCAUACUCCUACGGGAGGCAGCAGUAGGGAAUUUUGCGCAAUGGGCGAAAGCCUGACGCAGCAACACCGCGUGAGCGAUGAAGCCCCUUGGGGUGUAAAGCUCUGUCAGUGGGGAAGAAUAAAUGACUGUACCCACAAAGGAAGCAUCGGCUAACUACGUGCCAGCAGCCGCGGUAAGACGUAGGAUGCAAGCGUUGUCCGGAAUUAUUGGGCGUAAAGAGUUCGUAGGCGGCAUAUCAAGUCUGGUGUUAAAGACUGGGGCUCAACCCCAGAAGGGCACUGGAUACUGAUAAGCUAGAGUACAGAAGAGGCAAGGGGAAUUCCCAGUGUAGCGGUGAAAUGCGUAGAUAUUGGGAGGAACACCAGUGGCGUAAGCGCCUUGCUGGGCUGUUACUGACGCUGAGGAACGAAAGCCAGGGGAGCAAAUGGGAUUAGAUACCCCAGUAGUCCUGGCUGUAAACGAUGGAUACUAGGUGUUGCGGGUAUCGACCCGAGCCGUGCCGAAGC
rnacentral:rRNA from 1 species